rnacentral:rRNA from 1 species
AACGAACGCUGGCGGCAUGCCUAACACAUGCAAGUCGAACGAGACCUUCGGGUCUAGUGGCGCACGGGUGCGUAACGCGUGGGAACCUGCCCUUAGGUUCGGAAUAACUCCCCGAAAGGGGUGCUAAUACCGGAUAAUGUCUUCGGACCAAAGAUUUAUCGCCUUUGGAUGGGCCCGCGUUGGGUUAGCUAGUUGGUAGGGUAAAAGCCUACCAAGGCGACGAUCCAUAGCUGGUCUGAGAGGAUGAUCAGCCACACUGGGACUGAGACACGGCCCAGACUCCUACGGGAGGCAGCAGUGGGGAAUAUUGGACAAUGGGCGAAAGCCUAAUCCAGCAAUGCCGCGUGAGUGAUGAAGGCCUUAGGGUUGUAAAGCUCUUUUACCCGGGAUGAUAAUGACAGUACCGGGAGAAUAAGCUCCGGCUAACUCCGUG